CUUUAUCAUAGGAUUUUCGGCUUUCCUCUACCAGGAAUACAGCUGGGCAUUUUGCGGUAUCGGUUUGGAUUCCAAGUAUGUCCUCUCCGGUUUCCCGUUCGUUGUCUAGGCAUUUGUGCGGCAUCCGGGGUGACCUUAUCCCUUAUUUUGUAUAUAAUGUGUUUUUAUAUUAUGCAUUUUUUAUAUUUUUGAGGAUGAGUGAGUCAGGUGAGUGGGUGUGUUCGUAUGCUUUAUUACAUUGUACUUAUUGUUUUGGGGAAGGUUAACUUUCUGGUUGUAAGACCCGUCACGGCCAGGCUGGGAGACUGGAUAGGCAAAUGCUCACAUUAAAUCUGUACCGAUACAGUGUGUUAAAUGUCUUCCUUUUUACACCAUAACCCAUGGUGGUGCUCCUACUAAAGGAGGGAGAUACGGAACAUACAUACAUACAUACUGCCGGUCGGGAGAAGACCAAGUGACCAUAUUUCUAUACCCCAGUCACCCUUGGGGAUU
rnacentral:lncRNA from 1 species